rnacentral:rRNA from 1 species
UACGAAGGGGGCUAGCGUUGCUCGGAAUGACUGGGCGUAAAGGGCGCGUAGGCGGCUUGCAUAGUCGGAUGUGAAAUUCCUGGGCUUAACCUGGGGGCUGCAUUCGAUACGUGCGGGCUGGAGUGCGGAAGAGGGUCGUGGAAUUCCCAGUGUAGAGGUGAAAUGCGCAGAUAUCAGGAAGAACACCCGUGGCGAAGGCGGUUCUCUGGGACGGUACUGACGCUGAGACGCGAAAGCGUGGGGAGCGAACAGG